CCUACGGGGGGCAGCAGUGGGGGAUAUUGCACAAUGGGGGAAACCCUGAUGCAGCGACGCCGCGUGGGUGAAGAAGUAUUUCGGUAUGUAAAGCCCUAUCAGCAGGGAAGAAAGAAGACGGUACCUGACUAAGAAGCCCCGGCUAACUACGUGCCAGCAGCCGCGGUAAUACGUAGGGGGCGAGCGUUAUCCGGAUGCACUGGGUGUAAAGGGAGCGUAGACGGCCGUGCAAGCCAGGAGUGAAAGCCCGGGGCCCAACCCCGGGACUGCUCUUGGAACUGUGCGGCUGGAGUGCGGGAGGGGCAGGCGGAAUUCCUGGUGUAGCGGUGAAAUGCGUAGAUAUCAGGAGGAACACCGGCGGCGAAGGCGGCCUGCUGGACCGCGACUGACGUUGAGGCUCGAAAGCGUGGGGAGCGAACAGGAUUAGAUACCCCUGUAGUC
rnacentral:rRNA from 1 species